rnacentral:rRNA from 1 species
AACGAACGCUGGCGGCAUGCCUAACACAUGCAAGUCGAACGAGACCUUCGGGUCUAGUGGCGCACGGGUGCGUAACGCGUGGGAACCUGCCCUUAGGUUCGGAAUAACUCCCCGAAAGGGGUGCUAAUACCGGAUAAUGUCUUCGGACCAAAGAUUUAUCGCCUUUGGAUGGGCCCGCGUUGGAUUAGCUAGUUGGUAGGGUAAAAGCCUACCAAGGCGACGAUCCAUAGCUGGUCUGAGAGGAUGAUCAGCCACACUGGGAAUGAGACACGGCCCAGACUCCUACGAGAGGCAGCAGUGGGGAAUAUUGGACAAUGGGCGAAAGCCUGAUCCAGCAAUGCCGCGUGAGUGAUGAAGGCCUUAGGGUUGUAAAGCUCUUUUACCCGGGAUGAUAAUGACAGUACCGGGAGAAUAAGCGCCGGCUAACUCCGUG